UCAAAAAAAAACUUCAUUAUCAUUGCAUCCAAAAACCUCUAAAAAUCAGUCAUCCAAAAUAUAAGUACAUAAACUGCCUUAAAUGGCCUUAAUAUGAACUACCAAACUACAUAAAAGUGUCUGAAACACUAAGCAACUACAUAAAAGUGUUGUAAACCAAAAAGUAUUACAUUUGUUUACCACCCAUUGCAGUCAUGUACAUAAUCAGUCAUUAUAGAUUUAUAUUCCCCAAAAAUAUAUAUUAACAGUCGCAUGUUCUUCUUAAGUUAUAUUCCUCAAACAAUAUGAAUUAUCAGUCACAAUCUUCUUCAGUUGCCCCCCCAGUUGUAUUGUUUCUUCCAUCAGUUGAAGUAUUUUCUCCAUCUCUUUUUCCCCUAGCAUUGUCUGCCCUUAUACCUGAGUAAAAAACAAAAAGGACACCAAUCAAAAAGUAUGUCGUGAUGACCUGUAAAGAAAAAAAGCUUCCUAAAUCGCAAACAAAUAUCUACAGAUAAUGACCUUGGAAGAGAUUUUGAUAUUCUAAUUUUGUGUUCGUGCAGUUACCCAUGCUGGUGUCAGAACAUGUUUACAAGUUGGGAGACUUUGUUGUGUAAAUUGAUUUACGGCUACAAAAUAGCAUUGUAUGGAACAGGAGACAUUAGAAUUGAAAGUACAAAUUACAUAAUCCUAUAAAACAGCAUAUACUGAAAAGAAUAAUCACUGAUUUCUAUUAUGUUAUAAAUGCAACUUAUAUUACAAGAAAGUCAUGGCAGAUAAUGAAAAGCAAUCUUUUGAACAAAUCAACUACACCUUCUGUUUUCCCAUUCUAGUAAAGGGCACCUUAACGGGACUGACAGUUAAAGUGCCCAAAUCGAUUCUGACAACAUUAAAUUAUAAAAACAGUAGUAAUUGCAAUAGUAACUGCACUACAACAAUAACGAUCACCAUAUCAGUAAUUUAGUUUAUUGGAAAUAAUGAUUCAUCUGGUAUUGUUUUGGUACAAAGUUCGUCUGGUAUGUAGUACAUGACACUUAACACAAUUAAACAUGACAAAAUUUAUCAGUUUAUAGCAGUCCUAAAACAUAGAAGUGCACAAAUACUUCUUCUUUUUUGUCGGUCACAAAUCCUUCUUUAGUAAACAUUGACGAAACAAUGGGCUUAAUAUUCAAACUUUAUUUUAUUUAAUCUCCUUCUAAGAAAACAAACUCAUUUUCUUGCGGCUCGUUUUUUAAAGUCACAUGUCAUCACAUUCUUAAAACCAAAAUUUUCAAACAGAAAUACAUACAAAAUAUUACAAAGGUGAUGAUCCAUCUUUUUUCACAAGUUACCAUCUAACGAUCAAGCAUCAUCGAGGUGUCAUGACUUAACCACGAAGUACACUAAGUAAUCUCUUCAGGCAUGUAUGUCCAUUUCAAUGUGAUAAGCACAUGCAAAUUUUCAUCUCCUCCAUAAUAUUCUUUCAACCACCUUAACACAUUAAUGAACUCAUAAAGCAAUGUUUUUACCAAUUCAACCAACAAAAACAAAGGUAAAUAUUUCAACCUGAAACUUGAAAAGGCUAAAAUAACUUGUACCUUUUUUCCAACCCGAUAGAACCCGGGUCGAUUGAGCUUCCAUUUCAGCUGGUGGGAUAUUCCCCACAUCCACCUCCACAUCCAUCCAAUCUAAAUUCUUAACCUUUUCAAAUCUAAACUAGCCCUUAAAAUACCUUCUGCAGCAAGUACAACCAAACAACAAUUCAACACAUAAAAUAGAACCUAAAUUAACAAACACAUUCUACCAAUUUCACAUAUUUGAAUAUAAAUUUCCUAUAAUGAAUUACAAUUAAAAAAAAAAAGAGACUACAAUAACACUCAAAACCAAACCCUUAGUCCAAUUGACAAUAAAAACAAAUCCCCCCUAAAUUAACAAACACAUUCAACCAAUUUCACAUAUUUGAAUAUAAAUUUACUAUCAUGAAUUACGAUUAAAAAAGAGAGACUACAAUAACACUCAAAACCAAACCCUUAGUCCAAUUGACAAUCAAAACAAAUCCCACCUAAAUUAACAAACACAUUCAACCAAUUUCACAUAUUUGAAUAUAAAUUUACUAUCAUGAAUCACAAUUUUAAAAAAAGACUACAAUAACACUCUCAAACCCAAACCCUUAGUCCAAUUGACAAUCAAAACAAAUCCCACCUCCAAAAAUUGGAACUAUAAGGCGAUUUCAAGAAUAAGAGUACAUAAUUAAUUACUGGAAACAAACAGUGCAAAUGAAAAUCAAAUUCGAAUUUUGGAAUCAUAAGUAGGAAGAAUACUUAGAUAAUUAAACUUCACAAGCUAAUAAAAAAAAUACGAAGAAUACUUGUCCGGAUUGAAGAGAAAGAAUCAAAUGGUGGAGUGUUUGUAAACCUUUUCUUCAAAUAGACGGAAAGGGGAAAUUUUCGAAGGUGAACAUGGCUCAAGAUAAACUCUCUUAUGCUAAUUUGCGCUGAAAUGUAUAAGCAGAUCAAUUGUACGGAGGUUCUAAGAGGAAAGAGAGGGAUUAAUUGGAGAUGUUGAGCACAGAAGGAGUUUAAUCGGAUAGAGAGUGAAAGAGUUUUGGGGUGGGAGUUGUAGGAGAGUAGAGGCUUUGCAGCAGAAGGGGGGGAAAGAAUUAAGUUUUUUAAAGAC
rnacentral:lncRNA from 1 species